UCCCUGGUAGUCCAGUGGCUAAGACUCUGCACUCCUAAUGCAGGGGGCCCCGGUUCCAUCCCUGGUCAGGGAA
rnacentral:tRNA from 1 species